UUUCCGUAGGUGAACCUGCGGAAGGAUCAUUAAUGAAUUUAUUGAAUUGGGUUGUAGCUGGCUCUCUCUGGGGGCAUGUGCACACUCUAUUCAUCUAUUUCUAUAUACACCUGUGCACCUUUUGUGGGUCGGUCAUAUGAGGGAAAGUUGAAAGGCUUUUGUUCUAGACCUUCCUACGUUUUUAUUAUAAACCCAAGCAUGUCUUUGAAUGUCUUUGCAUUAAGAUGCAUUUUAAUACAACUUUCAGCAACGGAUCUCUUGGCUCUC
rnacentral:misc_RNA from 1 species